GCAGUGUGUGACAGCAUGGUGUGAGGUAGUGUGCAGUGUGUGGCAGCAUGGUGUGAGAUAGCGUGCAGUGUGUGACAGCAUGGUGUGAGGUAGUGUGCAGUGUGAGGUAGUGUGCAGUGUGUGACAGCAUGGUGUGAGGUAGUGUGCAGUGUGUGACAGAAUGGUGUGAGGUAGUGUGCAGUGUGAGGUAGUGUGCACUGUGUGACAGAAUGGUGUGAGGUAGUGUGCACUGUGUGACAGAAUGGUGUGAGGUAGUGUGCAGUGUGAGGUAGUGUCCAAUGUGUGACAGCAUGGUGUGAGGUAGCAUGCAGUGUGUGGCAGCAUGGUGUGAGAUAGCGUGCAGUGUGUGACAGCAUGGUGUGAGGUAGUGUGCAGUGUGAGGUAGUGUGCACUGUGUGACAGAAUGGUGUGAGGUAGCGUGCAGUGUGUGGCAGCAUGGUGUGAGAUAGCGUGCAGUGUGUGACAGCAUGGUGUGAGGUAGUGUGCAGUGUGAGGUAGUGUGCACUGUGUGACAGCAUGGUGUGAGGUAGUGUGCAGUGUGUGACAGAAUGGUGUGAGGUAGUGUGCAGUGUGAGGUAGUGUGCACUGUGUGACAGAAUGGUGUGAGGUAGUGUGCAGUGUGUGACAGCAUGGUGUGAGGUAGUGUGCAGUGUGUGACAGAAUGGUGUGAGGUAGUGUGCAGUGUGUGACAGAAUGGUGUGAGGUAGUGUGCAGUGUGUGGCAGCAUGGUGUGAGGUAGUGUUUACUCACCCCCAGAAUCUGCUAACUUCAGGUUCCAAUGUUUUUCAUAUGUAAAU